rnacentral:rRNA from 1 species
UACGAAGGGGGCGAGCGUUGUUCGGAUUUACUGGGCGUAAAGAGCUCGUAGGCGGCUUGUCACGUCGGGUGUGAAAGCCCGGGGCUUAACCCCGGGUCUGCAUUCGAUACGGGCUAGCUAGAGUGUGGUAGGGGAGAUCGGAAUUCCUGGUGUAGCGGUGAAAUGCGCAGAUAUCAGGAGGAACACCGGUGGCGAAGGCGGAUCUCUGGGCCAUUACUGACGCUGAGGAGCGAAAGCGUGGGGAGCGAACAGG